UGAAUCAGUGAUGACUCUUGGUGGCCUAUGAGUCCUAUAUGAUGACUACAUGUUGAACUCUGAGGUCCAA
rfam:Myotis davidii contig131787, whole genome shotgun sequence.